CCUACGGGAGGCAGCAGUAGGGAAUAUUGCUCAAUGGGGGAAACCCUGAAGCAGCAACGCCGCGUGGAGGAUGAAGGUUUUCGGAUUGUAAACUCCUUUUGUUAGAGAAGACAAUGACGGUAUCUAACGAAUAAUCACCGGCUAAAGCCGGCCCAGCAGCCGCGGUAAUACGGAGGGUGCAAGCGUUAUUCGGAAGCACUGGGCGUAAAGGGCGCGUAGGCGGGAUAGCAAGUCAGAUGUGAAAUCCUAUGGCUUAACCAUAGAACUGCAUUUGAAACUGUUAUUCUAGAGUAUGGGAGAGGUAGGUGGAAUUCUUGGUGUAGAGGUGAAAGCCGUAGAGAUCAGGAGGAAUACUCAUUGCGAAGGCGGCCUGCUAGAACAUAACUGACGCUGAUGCGCGAAAGCGUGGGGAGCAAACAGGAUUAGAUACCCCUGUAGUC
rnacentral:rRNA from 1 species